rnacentral:sRNA from 1 species
CACCGGCACCAGCCAAGAAAUAACAGUAUCCUGGCUGGCGAGCGGCGCCCGGGCAACCCGGCGCCGCUUUUUUUCA